rnacentral:rRNA from 1 species
UGGGGAAUUUUGGACAAUGGGGGCAACCCUGAUCCAGCCAUGCCGCGUGCGGGAAGAAGGCCUUCGGGUUGUAAACCGCUUUCGGACAGAAAGAAAUCGCCUUGGCUAAUACCUGAGGUGGAUGACGGUACUGUAAGAAGAAGCACCGGCUAACUACGUGCCAGCAGCCGCGGUAAUACGUAGGGUGCGAGCGUUAAUCGGAAUUACUGGGCGUAAAGCGUGCGCAGGCGGAUAUUUAAGUCAGAUGUGAAAUCCCCGGGCUUAACCUGGGAAUGGCAUUUGAAACUGGAUGUCUAGAGUGUGGCAGAGGGGGGUGGAAUUCCACGUGUAGCAGUGAAAUGCGUAGAGAUGUGGAGGAACACCGAUGGCGAAGGCAGCCCCCUGGGCUAACACUGACGCUCAUGCACGAAAGCGUGGGGAGCAAACAG